GGCGAACGGGUGAGUAACACGUGGGCAAUCUGCCCUGCACUUCGGGACAAGCCCUGGAAACGGGGUCUAAUACCGGAUACAUACCAUCGGGCGCAUGUCUGGUGGUGGAAAGCUCCGGCGGUGCAGGAUGAGCCCGCGGCCUAUCAGCUUGUUGGUGGGGUGAUGGCCUACCAAGGCGACGACGGGUAGCCGGCCUGAGAGGGCGACCGGCCACACUGGGACUGAGACACGGCCCAG
rnacentral:rRNA from 1 species